GAGCAGUCAACAUGUAGCAGACAAAGGAGUUGCAGGUCCAGCAUUCCCCGAACCCAGGACCACUGUUUCAGGAAUAGAACCACUCACAAUGGAAUGAGCUCUCCCGUGUCAAUCACAAAUUAAGAAAAUGUUUCACAGUUGUAUCUUAUGGAGCUCUUUUGUCAGUGGUAUGUAUUUCCACUGAUUGUGUUUUCUUGUCAUUUAAGAUGUUUUCCCCAACCUUGAGGACAUUCUUGGUGCGUUGAAGACCAUAUGAUUGAGUCCAUACAUAAUCACCAUCCCUGCUAAUUUUCAUGGAGCCAUUUGGAAAUGAAAAGCAUGACUCAAUAUAGUUGUUGAUUACCAUCCAUGGAACUGGUCCAUCUUUAUGUUUGAUUAAUCAAGUCCUCCUCUAUUGAGUUCACCUUUUGUUGGUUUAUAUGGAAGAGAGAAGUGCCUGCAGGAACCAUGCUACAUAUUCAACUGGAGAGGGAAUGCACAUCUUAUGGGAAUGGAAACUUUUGAUUGUUUCAGAUUCUAGAACAUGUUUGAGUUGGUCUUGAAUAAUACAUUGUUGUUCUUUUUUCUAUAUUCAAUUAAGUAAUCACAGAUAUAUAGUCAUUAAGAAUUUUAGGCUGAGAGGGACUACUAAGUAAUUUAGGUGGAUGGGUAAGUUAGGAUAAGACAAGAUAGGAUAAGUUAGGUUAGGAUAAAGUAAGCUACAAUAAUAAGUAACAAUACGUAUUUGUCACUCUUACUCCUCCCUACAACCUUACCUAUAAAAGUCUAC
rnacentral:lncRNA from 1 species